AGAAAAUCCAAUAUGGCGCGUGCUUAUCAAGUAAGAAGUUUCGAUAGUUUGUUAAAAUCUCGAAUAAAGAAUGCUCAAAUGAGACAAAAUAUUUAUAAAAACUUGCUUACUCGUUUGGUUCAGGAUGAAAGAGUUGUUACAACACUUGCAAAGUGCAAAGACUUAUCAAGAGUGGCAGAAAGGGUAUGUAUAAACUAGCUGUGUAAGAUACAGUAUACGACAAAAUUUAAUACAGUUUCGACAAACCUAUUGUAACCUAUGCCCUAUGGAUAACUAGAUAACCCAGUGUGAGUAUUGUGUGAUCAAUAUGUAAUACAAUGCAACUAGCCGC
rnacentral:lncRNA from 1 species